CUCCCACAGCUACCUCGUAAGAAGAGGGGAACAUAAGACUUCAGUUUUCUCAAGAUAAAUCUCUUUGCCACCGGAAUAACUGCUGCCAUCCAUUUCUUAGUGUUGAUCAGUAAUAGAAUCUGUUCCAACCAGCAUUUCUAGACAUGAAUACAUCAGAUCAGCGGCACUUGAAUCUCCUCUUUUCAUGUCCCAAUCCAUUCUAUAGCACAAAAGUCUAUGCUUUUGGUAUUCUCAUACCACUGAGAAGCAGAGGAUACUAGAAAUUUCACAGAGCCUGUUCUGGGGGAAAGCACCGAGGGGAAACCUUUUGAAGUUGUUUGACUAUGCAGAGCGAUUCCUGCUAUUGAAUUCCAAUUGGGACCAUAGAAACACAAAAUGGACUCCACUGUUUAUUUCUUUCUGGUACAGCUAUGGCGGGAGAUUAGCAGAUUUAAUACAAAAUCAUGAGACUUCUUGUAACCUUUGCAUUUUAGACUUUCACAAUCUCACUCCUAGAAAUGCUAAAGACAGAAUCAUAAUCACUGACGUAUGACAUGUGUGAUAAAGACUGACUCACUACCAGGCA